CAUGUCUUAUUGAAUAUGAUUUUAAGUUUAAUCUGCUCAAUGAUGAUUUAAAUUGCUGCAGUAAUUUAACUGUACAAAGGUAGCAUGAUAAAUAGUUAUUUAAUUGAUAACUCGAAUGAAAGAUUGGACAAGAAAAUUACUGUCUUGUUAUUAUUAAUUGAACUUUAUAUUUUAGUUAAAAAGCUGGAAUUGUUAUAAAAGACGAGAAGACCCUAUAGAUUUUUAUAAUAAUUUUGAGUUAUUAAGUGGAAAUAUUAUAUUAUUUUAUUAUUUUUUUGGGGUGAAAAAUUGAUUAAAUUAAUUCAUUUAAUUGUUAUGAUUGAUUUAUAAUUUUAUUAYCUUAAAUUUUAAAAAUUAAAUUAAAUUACCUUAGGGAUAACAGCGUUAUUAUUUUUUGAAGUUCAUAUUGAAAAUAUAGAUUGCGACCUCGAUGUUGGAUUAAAAUUUAUUUUGAAUGAAGAAGUUUGGAAUUUAGAUCUGUUCGAUCUUUAAAAUUUUACAUGAUCUGAGUUUAAACCGGUGUGAGCCAGGUUGGAUUCUAUCUUUAUUAAAUUUUAAUAUUUUAGUACGAAAGGACCAUUUAUUAUUUGUUAUUUUGGCAG
rnacentral:rRNA from 1 species